CUGCUCCUGACAUGUCCGCUCUGGGGUUGGGGGUGGAGGGAUCAUUAAGAACAGCUGCGUGAACGAGAUCAAGCAGAAGAACACCUGGCAGCUGGCAAGAAAGGGAGAAGGCCGCCACCGAACGGACAAUAUCCGCAAGAAGCAGCUGUCUGUAGCCAGCCGGGGACGCCACAACGAAACCUAAUCCACAAUCUCAGAGGCAGCGGGGGCAUAUUCGAUCUGGUUCGCCUCGAUCAGGAGAAACGAAAUUUGUGCUGGAAAAAGUUUUAA